UACGUAGGGACCAAGCGUUGUUCGGAUUUACUGGGCGUAAAGGGCGCGUAGGCAGCGUGUUAAGUCACUUGUGAAAUCUCUAAGCUUAACUUAGAACGGUCAAGUGAUACUGAUGUGCUAGAGUGCAGAAGGGGCAACCGGAAUUCUUGGUGUAGCGGUGAAAUGCGUAGAUAUCAAGAGGAACACCUGAGGUGAAGACGGGUUGCUGGGCUGACACUGACGCUGAGGCGCGAAAGCUAGGGUAGCAAACGGG
rnacentral:rRNA from 1 species